GUAUGAUAAUAUAAUUUUCAAAAAAUUCUGGGAGGCUGGUCCGAAAAUCAAAUCCAUCCCAAAGUAAUAUUUUCAGUAGGUGCACACAAGGUGGGUAUGGAUACUUGAAUCCAUAUUGGGUUCAAUUGCCCUACGGAAA
rnacentral:misc_RNA from 1 species